UAUCUGUUUUAUUCUCUGUGCACAUCUAUCC
rnacentral:piRNA from 1 species